rnacentral:rRNA from 1 species
ACCGUGCAAAGGUAGCAUAAUCAUUUGCCUAUUAAUUGUUGGCUAGUAUGAACGGACAAACGAGAAUAAAGCUGUCUCCUUCAAGACAAUAAAAAUUUAUCUUUAAGUGAAGAAGCUUAAAUAAACUCGCAGGACAAGAAGACCCUAUAGAGCUUUACCUGUUACUUCUAACUUUAGUAGAAAAAUAGGUUCGGUUGGGGCGACCAAGGGAUACAAAUCACCCUUAAUUUAAAAGACUUACAAGUCUUAAAAAUGAUCCUUACUAUAAGAUCAAUGAAUCAAGCUACCUUAGGGAUAACAGGCUAAUUCUCCUUUAGAGCCCUUAUCGACAGGGGAGG